rnacentral:rRNA from 1 species
UCCUGACUGACCGAUAGUGAACCAGUACCGUGAGGGAAAGGCGAAAAGAACCCCGGCGAGGGGAGUGAAAAAGAACCUGAAACCGUGUACGUACAAGCAGUGGGAGCACGCUUAGGCGUGUGACUGCGUACCUUUUGUAUAAUGGGUCAGCGACUUAUAUUCUGUAGCAAGGUUAACCGAAUAGGGGAGCCGAAGGGAAACCGAGUCUUAACUGGGCGUUAAGUUGCAGGGUAUAGACCCGAAACCCGGUGAUCUAGCCAUGGGCAGGUUGAAGGUUGGGUAACACUAACUGGAGGACCGAACCGACUAAUGUUGAAAAAUUAGCGGAUGACUUGUGGCUGGGGGUGAAAGGCCAAUCAAACCGGGAGAUAGCUGGUUCUCCCCGAAAGCUAUUUAGGUAGCGCCUCGUGAAUUCAUCUCCGGGGGUAGAGCACUGUUUCGGCAAGGGGGUCAUCCCGACUUACCAACCCGAUGCAAACUGCGAAUACCGGAGAAUGUUAUCACGGGAGACACACGGCGGGUGCUAACGUCCGUCGUGAAGAGGGAAACAACCCAGACCGCCAGCUAAGGUCCCAAAGUCAUGGUUAAGUGGGAAA